AAGAUCAUACUUUUAGGGAUCAUUUCUAUAGUAUGCAUCGCCAAGACGUCAAGUAACACUGACGAACCAUCGAGACCACGAUGACGAGACAGAGCCUCCCUUUCUGAGCGCGAAGCGGGCUGGGAGUGUCACCUUCUUGGUGACCUGCUCCUUGUCAUUGAUGACCGUUCCUCUCUUCCUUUUGUGGGGAGUUGGAGGAAGGGGAGGCAUUCUGAGUGGC
rnacentral:snoRNA from 1 species